GGAUGAAAUGAUGACAAUCACCUUUGGGGACAAACCUGAAAUGACAGAACACUAGUAGGUGAUGACUU
ensembl:snoRNA